rnacentral:rRNA from 1 species
UACGGAGGAUGCAAGCGUUAUCCGGAAUGAUUGGGCGUAAAGCGUCCGCAGGUGGCAAUGUAAGUCUGCUGUCAAAGCGUCUGGCUCAACCAGAUAAAGGCAGUGGAAACUACAUAGCUAGAGUAAGGUAGGGGUAGAGGGAAUUCCUGGUGUAGCGGUGAAAUGCGUAGAUAUCAGGAAGAACACCGGUGGCGAAAGCGCUCUGCUAGGCCGCAACUGACACUGAGGGACGAAAGCUAGGGGAGCGAAUGGG